rnacentral:rRNA from 1 species
UACGGAGGAUGCAAGCGUUAUCCGGAAUGAUUGGGCGUAAAGGGUCCUCAGGUGGCAAUGUAAGUCUGCUGUCAAAGAAUGAGGCUCAACCUCAUCAAGGCAGUGGAAACUACGUAGCUAGAGUACGGUCGGGGUAGAAGGAAUUCCUGGUGUAGCGGUGAAAUGCGUAGAGAUCAGGAAGAACACCGGUGGCGAAAGCAUUCUGCUAGGCCUGUACUGACACUGAGGGACGAAAGCUAGGGGAGCGAAUGGG